CUUUUCUGUCUGGAUCAUCUGUCCAUUGCUGAAAGUUAUUGAAGUCCUCUACUAUUAGUGUAUUACAGUUUUCUCUUAAUUUAGAUUGAUUUGUUACUUUUAUAUAUCUUGUACAGGUGCUGUGAUGUUGGAUGCAGAUACAUUUACAAUUGUGAUAGAUUCCUGCUCAUGAUGUGAGAGAAGUGGCUCAAACUUCCUGAGACAUGGUGAUUAUGGGUGACUCCAGAGGCCUCCACAGAGAAAUGAAUCAGUGGAACAGAACAGUGGAUGCUGCAAGCUGCAGUGGCUGGGAUCCAACUUGGGACCUUGCGCUUGUGAGGCAGGCGGUGGAACUACUGAGCUAAAUCCCGGCACUACUCAAGAAGACCCUCUCCAGAUGCCGAACAGAUACCUGUGCCAUGCUCUCAGACUUUCCAACCUUCAGAACUUGAAACUUCCAAAAUUCGUCUAGCUUUUUGAAGUGUACAGCACAUUACUGUUACCUAUAAUCAUCUUACUGUACAGUAGCACCCUAGAACUUCGUAGUUCUAUCCAAGUCCAACUUAGUACCUAUUGAUCAAAUAUCCACCCAGCUCUGCCCUUGCCUUUGGUAACCACCACUCUACAACCACC
ensembl:lncRNA